GGUUGUAUAGGAGGGAUUUCAAGAGUAGAAGGGGGAGCACUCAAUAAAGCCAUAAGCCUAGCACCAGGGUUAGGAUUAGGAUUAGGGAAUUGGUGAGGACUAGUAGGUUGGGGUGGGGGUGGUUGAAGAGGGGGGGUGGGGAAAGACAUGGAUCUUUGCUGAUGAGCAAACUGGGUGGUAUCAUGUUGAGGUAGUGGGGUGGUGUAUUGGGGGGCUAGGUGGGGGUGAUUGAAUUGAGGGUGGUGGUGGUGAAAUGGGGCUGCUGUUGUUUGAGGUGGAUAAGGGUACACCCCUCCGGCACCGGCGCCGGCAACGGUGGGUGG
rnacentral:lncRNA from 1 species